rnacentral:rRNA from 1 species
CGUAUCCAACCUGCCGUCUACCCUUGGACAGCCUUCUGAAAGGAAGAUUAAUACAAGAUGGCAUCAUGAGUCCGCAUGCUCACAUGAUUAAAGGUAUUCCGGUAGACGAUGGGGAUGCGUUCCAUUAGAUAGUAGGCGGGGUAACGGCCCACCUAGUCUUCGAUGGAUAGGGGUUCUGAGAGGAAGGUCCCCACAUUGGAACUGAGACACGGUCCAAACUCCUACGGGAGGCAGCAGUGAGGAAUAUUGGUCAAUGGGCGAGAGCCUGAACCAGCCAAGUAGCGUGAAGGAUGACUGCCCUAUGGGUUGUAAACUUCUUUUAUAAAGGAAUAAAGUCGGGUAUGCAUACCCGUUUGCAUGUACUUUAUGAAUAAGGAUCGGCUAACUCCGUGCCAGCAGCCGCGGUAAUACGGAGGAUCCGAGCGUUAUCCGGAUUUAUUGGGUUUAAAGGGAGCGUAGAUGGAUGUUUAAGUCAGUUGUGAAAGUUUGCGGCUCAACCGUAAAAUUGCAGUUGAUACUGGAUAUCUUGAGUGCAGUUGAGGCAGGCGGAAUUCGUGGUGUAGCGGUGAAAUGCUUAGA